rnacentral:rRNA from 1 species
GAUGAACGCUGGCGGCGUGCCUAAUACAUGCAAGUCGAGCGAACAGACGAGGAGCUUGCUCCUCUGACGUUAGCGGCGGACGGGUGAGUAACACGUGGAUAACCUACCUAUAAGACUGGGAUAACUUCGGGAAACCGGAGCUAAUACCGGAUAAUAAAUUGAACCGCAUGGUUCAAUAGUGAAAGACGGUUUUGCUUUCACUUAUAGAUGGAUCCGCGCCGCAUUAGCUAGUUGGUAAGGUAACGGCUUACCAAGGCGACGAUGCGUAGCCGACCUGAGAGGGUGAUCGGCCACACUGGAACUGAGACACGGUCCAGACUCCUACGGGAGGCAGCAGUAGGGAAUCUUCCGCAAUGGGCGAAAGCCUGACGGAGCAACGCCGCGUGAGUGAUGAAGGUCUUCGGAUCGUAAAACUCUGUUAUUAGGGAAGAACAAAUGUGUAAGUAACUAUGCACGUCUUGACGGUACCUAAUCAGAAAGCCACGGCUAACUACGUG